AAUAAUCUAUAUAUUAUAUAAAACACCAGUUUAACGGCAAAAUUUUAGCGCCAUAUUUUAUCUCUCACACGUUCUCUCUAAUUCUUAUUAAGCACGAUUGGAUUCUUUUCUCCCACAACUCAACAUCUGAAACUCUUUUCAUCAACUCUUCUAUUUCGGAUUCCAUAACCGCUUCUCGCCGAUCCAUUGCUCACCAAACUUAAUCGAAGAUUCGGCCGUCGUUUCUCGGUUCUUCAACUGUCGCCCUAGCGCCACCGCCUCAUACCAACAUUGCCCAAAAUGGUAAAAGCAAAACCAAUUAGUUUCUUCAUCUCUCUCUCUGUUUCUAUUCUUUAUGAUUUGAUUCUUCUCCCAUGAUUUUAAAGAAAAAUUCCCAAUUUCUGAAACCCCUUUCGUCAACUUUUUUCCAGAUUCCGUAACCGCUCCUCGCUGUUCCAUCGCUCACCAAACUCAAUCGAAAACUCGGUCGCCAUUUCUCGGUCGUCAGUCGCUGCCCUAACGCCGCCGCCUCAGACCAACGUCGCCCAAAAUGGUAAAAGCAAAACCAAUCAGUUUCUUCCUCUCUCUCUCUCUCGCUCGCUCUCUUUCUCUUGUUUCUAUUCUUAAUCUUCUUAUUCAACAUUAUUUAGAAUUCACAUGUGAGUGUGUGUCUGUACAGACAUUGAGGGCCACUGCAUCAGAAAUUAGAGAAGUGUUUCUAAAAGUGCUGGUACUAAUUUCAAUUUCAAUAUUUUCGUGUGUUAAUUAAAAUUUAAAUUGAAAUUUUGAAAUUGGGUUUUUAAAAUCAAGAUCAGAUUUUGGUUUGAAAACAACCAACAUCAAACAUGGUGGUUCAAUGUUUAUCAUCUUGAAAUACUGCAACGUAGAACUUCGGCCGAUGCAGCCCUCCAUGUGUGGCGGAUUCGCCGAUUGUAAGGGUGCCAUGUUCGUGUAUUUCUCUGGUGCAGUGGCAGCUAUGGUUCAAGGAUUAUAUUAUCUCUUUUAUUUUAGUGCUCUUUUUAGUGGUGUUUCACUCUUCACACAUAACUGUUGGACUAAUGUUUUAAUGAUUUUAGAACAUAAAGUUGAAAGAA
rnacentral:lncRNA from 1 species